rnacentral:rRNA from 1 species
AAUCAACGCUGGCGGCGUGCCUAACACAUGCAAGUCGAGCGCGAAAGCGGGGCAACUCGCAAGUAGAGCGGCGAACGGGUGAGUAACGCGUGGGUGAUCUACCUCCGAGUGGGGAACGAACAUCGGGAAACUGGUGCUAAUACCGCAUGACAUCCUCGGGUCAUACUGAGGAUCAAAGCCGGGGACCGCAAGGCCUGGCGCUUGGAGAGGAGCCCGCGUCCGA